UGUCUUCAUAAUGGGUAUAGUGUCCUUUUAAGAGAAGACACCAGAGGGUUUUCCCUCUCCCUCUGCCUUAUGAGGACACAGUGAGAUGGCCGCUAUGUGCAAGCUGGGAAGCUUCUCUCAGCACCAGACCCAACUAUGCUGGUAUCCUCAUCUCAGACUUUCAGCUUCCAGAAAUCUAUACCAGAGGAAGGAAAAAAAUCAGCAGUGCUUCCUCAGCAUUCCUCCACUCCUCCACAGCAGCAUGCAUGAAGGCAUGGAGAUAGGAACACGCAUGGCGGAGGGGGAAGAGGAAAUGGAUUUUUUUUUUAACUCUAUAAUACUGUGGACCAGACGGCAAUGGAAAAAUGAGAGAGUAAGAGAGCAUGGAGGCAAGAAAAUAAUUGCAAGGUCAAGCCCACAGAGUAGUCACAAUAAUGAUACUACAAACAAUAACAAUAAGAAAUAACUGAGCUCCUAUGCUGUUCCCAGUACCACAGAGGAGGCUUCAACAUACACCUCAUCUGGUUCUGACGAAGUCAACAAACUGCUGAAGUGUCAACAGAUGAACAAGCGCCCAAGCUGAAACAGGAACAUGUGUCUGGCUUUUGUAAACAGGCUGAAGGAAUACAACUGACAGAGAAGUAGAGAGAGAAAAUAUUCCAUCUUGGAAAACGCUGUGUGAAAAUGUUGCACGUGGUUUUGUUAAACAUCCCAAACAAAGUAACCCUGAAGGCCAAGAAAAGUGACCAAAGGAAGACAGAGAAAAGAAAAACAAAACAGAAAUGAGAGAAAAAGAGUAAAGAUCUUUUGCCUGCUGCAAUAAAACAAUGGAAUACAUUUUUACAUUUUUAGCUUUUUCUUGAAAAGAACAAGCUCCACCUUUCCUUUCCCCCGUCCCUGAAAACUCUAGGGACACAGUCUGGCAUAUUCUUCCUGUAUCAUCACAGGAAAAAUAAGAGACAUUUUAGUGUUUGAUAGUAAUGUCCUGUAAUCCUCCAGCUCCUUGGAGCAAUCACUGCCUUUUUUUUCCAAAGCAGUCCUUUCCAGUUUCCUACAUUUGAUAGUGUUUCCUAAACUUGCCUGAUAUCAGAAUCACAGACUCACAGGUUUCUUCCUUGCUGAUGCUGAUUCAGUUCACCUGGA